UGGCAACAGAGGUUCAACGCAAGUUGGCAUAAAGCAAAUGGGUUUGGUCGCUCUCUGGGCUAAGAUUUAGUGAACCUUUUGGUGCUUGGCUUGGUCUUCUCUUAUUCAAAUGGAAAAAACCGAGUUUUGUGCUAUCAAGAAUAAGGAAUAGCCUUUAUUUUAGCUACAUCAGUGGCAAGGAUUGCCUCUGAAGCUGAGCAUCAUAAUAGAAAAACAAAGAAAAACCCUCUUAAGCUUUAUUAACAUAGUAGAAUGCUCUCAACCAAAAAACAAGACAUCCACACAAAUAAAGCAAAACUCCAUCUUUCAAAUAAAACAACUCUAGUUUCAUAUUUUAACUUUCAAUCUGAUAAUAUAAAGUUUGAAAAAAGCUGUAAAUAUGAAGAUAAUGAGAAGAUACAUGCCUUUUCAGAUAUCGGUGAAGACAAAGACGGUGGUGUGCGGUGGAAGUUAGAAAGACGGUGAUGCCUUCUGUUUCUUCUUCUCUUUCUUUUUAUGUGUUUUUAUCAGUAUUAAUCUCCGAUUUUCCUCCUCCAAAAUGUCUCCCUUCUUUGUAAAAAAAAAGAUGUAUUUAUAGAGUUUUUUUAUCUGAUUAGUUGCUUUCUUGGCUGUGUCUCUAUUUGAGUUUGAGCUUUCUAGUUCUUUGUUUGAUGUUUCGUUUUCUUUGCGCAUCAUCUGCAUUUUUCUGCAUCUCUGAUGCCUUCAUAGUUUUAGCUUAUUUGUUUUGAUCUGUUGAUUUGCUGAGCUUUUAUUUGUCUUUUAGUUUCUUUUUUUUAAACUCAAAAAUUUGUCUCUUUGUUAACUAUAAUGUGUACAAUGGCUGAUUUAAAAAAGUUAUCUUUUUAUUUCUCUAUUUAGUUAAAACAGGAACAGAUGUAUCAAUAAGCAUGGCUUAUGCAUCAAUGGCAGUCAGCAUCAACAUAGCAGGGUUUGACAGUGAACAAAGUCAACAUAGCAUGGCUUGAUAUGAUUUAAUUUUAUUGUAAUUUAUUUUUGGCUUUAUUCUUAGUUUGUAAUUUGAUUUGGUUUUAAAAACUCUAAUUAGAUGAAAUUGUAAAUUUAUGAUACAUAAUAAAAAUAUUUAUUGUAAUUAUUUUUAUUUCCUUUUUUUAAAUACAUAUUUCCUUUUUUAUAUUUGUUUUCAAAAUGGACAAAAUUAG
rnacentral:lncRNA from 1 species